UACGAAGGGGGCUAGCGUUGCUCGGAAUUACUGGGCGUAAAGCGCACGUAGGCGGCUUUCUAAGUCGGGGGUGAAAUCCUGGAGCUCAACUCCAGAACUGCCUUCGAUACUGGAAAGCUUGAGUCCGGGAGAGGUGAGUGGAACUGCGAGUGUAGAGGUGAAAUUCGUAGAUAUUCGCAAGAACACCAGUGGCGAAGGCGGCUGGCUGGGCCAUUCCUGACGCUGAGGCGCGAAGGCUCGGGGAGCGGACGGG
rnacentral:rRNA from 1 species